rnacentral:rRNA from 1 species
GACGUAGGGCGCGAGCGUUGUCCGGAUUUAUUGGGCGUAAAGAGCUCGUAGGCGGCUUGUCGCGUCGUCCGUGAAAACCUGGGGCUCAACCCCAGGCUUGCGGUCGAUACGGGCAGGCUAGAGGUAGGUAGGGGGAGAAUGGAAUUCCCGGUGUAGCGGUGAAAUGCGCAGAUAUCGGGAGGAACACCGGUGGCGAAGGCGGUUCUCUGGGCCUUACCUGACGCUGAGGAGCGAAAGCGUGGGGAGCGAACAGG